rnacentral:rRNA from 1 species
UACGUAGGGUGCAAGCGUUGUCCGGAAUUAUUGGGCGUAAAGAGCUCGUAGGCGGUUUGUUGCGUCUGCUGUGAAACCCGAGGCUCAACCUCGGGCCUGCAGUGGGUACGGGCAGACUAGAGUGCGGUAGGGGAGAUUGGAAUUCCUGGUGUAGCGGUGGAAUGCGCAGAUAUCAGGAGGAACACCAAUGGCGAAGGCAGAUCUCUGGGCCGUAACUGACGCUGAGGAGCGAAAGCAUGGGGAGCGAACAGG